AGAAAAUAUACCUCUGGAAGUUAACGGUUCUGGUGUUUCACCGAAUGAAAUUCCAAUUGAAAAUGUGAAUGAAACUGAUGUGGUUGGUACAGGCCUGCAGAAUGACGUUGGGGAAUACAAUUGUUUUCUGAACGUUAUCAUACAGUCCUUAUGGCAUUUAAGACGGUUUCGAGAGGAGUUCUUGCAGAGAUCAACAUCAGAGCAUGAUCAUGUGGGGGACCCCUGUGUUGUCUGUGCAUUGUAUGAUAUCUUCACUGCUCUGAGCACAGCAUCUACAGAUAUGCGAAGAGAAGCUGUUGCUCCUACAUCUCUGAGGAUAGCUCUGAGCAACUUGUAUCCCGAUAGUAAUUUCUUCCAGGAGGCUCAGAUGAAUGAUGCAUCUGAAGUAUUGGCUGUAAUAUUUGAUUGCCUUCAUCGAGCAUUUACUUCCGGUUCAAGUGUUUCUGAUUCUGAUUCAGUGGAAAGCAACGCCAUGGGGUCUUGGGAUUGUACAAACAAUG
rnacentral:misc_RNA from 1 species